rnacentral:rRNA from 1 species
GACGAACGCUGGCGGCGUGCUUAACACAUGCAAGUCGAACGGAAAGGCCUGCUUUCCCUUGUGGAUUGCGGGUACUCGAGUGGCGAACGGGUGAGUAACACGUGAGUGAUCUGCCCCCAACUUGGGUAUAAGCCUGGGAAACUGGGUCUAAUUCCCGAUAGGACUGCAGGGUGGUGCCUGUGGUGGAAAACGAUUUUCUAGUGGUUGGGGAUGAGCUCGCGGCCUAUCAGCUUGUUGGUGGGGUAAUGGCCUACCAAGGCGGCGACGGGUAGCCGGCCUGAGAGGGUGGACGGCCACAUUGGGACUGAGAUACGGCCCAGACUCCUACGGGAGGCAGCAGUGGGGAAUAUUGCACAAUGGGCGGAAGCCUGAUGCAGCCACGCCGCGUGGGGGAUGACGGCCUUCGGGUUGUAAACUCCUUUCGACCGCGAGGAAGCCACCUGGUUGGAAGGGUGGUGACGGUAGUGGUAGAAGAAGCACCGGCUAACUACGUG